CCAAAAAUUUUCACUUCAGUUUCCCACUUUUAUUUAAUUCUUACACUGCAAUAAUAUGAAUUAAUUAUAUUUUCUUUAUCAAUUCCCCAAAUAUAUGAAGUGACAAAAAAAAAAUCCAAGACACAAAAAUGGAAAUUGAGAUCUAUUCCUAAUCCCUCCGCCGUCGAAGAAGCAUUUGGCGCAACUCUCCUUCAAACUCUCGUUGCCGUCGAAGAACAACUCUCCUUCAAUCUCUUGUCGCGCAUCUCUCCUCUCCGUUGCCGUUGAAAAAAACUAAACUGAAACCCUAAAAUUGUGCCUCUCUUCCUUCUCCCAGCGACUCAAUCUUCUUCUUCUUCUCUGCCGGGAGUCUAUUUGCCACUUUCGUCUAUUCACCGGUCACAAUCUUUAUUCUAUUUUAGUAACUAUUAAAUUCCUCAUCCUCUUUCAGGAAACCACCUACCGCCACCCACCGUCGAGCACCACCCGCCAUAAAGAGAUGUCGUGACGUGAUAUGACGGAGACCGAAUUUGUGGUAGCACUAGGUUCAUAGGUCUUUGGUUCUGGGACUCUGUUCCCCUCUUUCUCCGUUUCAACUCUUUUCGGAUAUCUUUCACAGUCCUAGCUUCCUUGUCAUAAUUUGAGGGAGUUAAUCAGGGUUGGUCCUAUUUGUUCAAAUGUUUAUCUAUAAUUCAAAGCAAAACAACAAUGCCUUUCCAGAAUGCUGGUUUUAGGUGCAGACGGAAUCCUGGUGUUUUUAAAGUCAUUAUUUCAAAACAACAAUGCCUAUUAUGAUUACUCCUACAACCUUGCAGAAGUUGGCUUACCCUGAAGAAGAAUAUGCCACUGCUAGAGCAGCAUCAACAGCUGAUGCCAUCAUGGUUUGAUUUGCAUCAAAUAUCUUGUGUGACCUCAUCUCUACAUAUCACAGAAGACCGCAAUAUUUUUUAAAAUUUUUUGUGAUGAAUAAUAUAGUCAACAAUAAUUUUGAUAUGAUAUACUUUUAAAAUUGAUGGUGCUUAUCAAUUAUUGCACAUAAUUUUAAUCACAAUUGGUAUACUUGCCAUAAUGGUUGGAAAUAUUGCCUUGUUUUGAAGGUUUACAGGUUCGAAUCCUAGUCAAGACAAAA